CUACCUAGAAAAAAUUAUGAACAAUAAUUUAUUAUUUUUUUUUUUGAAUUUACAUCUAUUAGCAUAUUAAAAAUACAUUACAUAGAAUAUAUAUAUAUAAACUAGCUGACCCGGCAAACUUCGCCCCGCCCAAUUUUUAUUUGAAAUAGUUAAAACGCUUUUUGAACUCUUUUCAAGGCCAUUUAUUUGUAUGGAAUGUUAAUAUAUUCAGGGAAUAACGUCUCUGAACAAUUUAAAUAUUUUUGGCGAAGUUCGUUCUUUGUUUUGUUGUGUAGCGUGUAAACAAAUAAAGAAGAUGGCUCUCCAACACGCUAACAUGACACAUACAUACCUAUGUAUGUACAUAUGAAACUGUAAAAUUUUGAACUUAAACGAUAAAUCGGUUUGAAUCAUUCGAAUUCUCAGAAUGAACAUUUCCUCACUUUUAGAUUUGCUGUGUUGUAGUAAACUAUUCACUACAGUGAAAUUAUUAUUUAUGAAUAAAGACGGAAACCUUAGUAUAUAUCUGGUAUAAAAAUCCACGGGAUUGAGAUUUGAACUUGAGGUCAAAAUUUUUAAAAUUAUUGAUGAAAAUUUUCGUAGAGUUGAUAAUAAGCACAAAUUUUCAUAAAAUAGUUCAUUUUUGAUUUUAUAUUCAAGUUUUUAACAAAUAAGUUAAUUACAAAAUUGUUAGUUGAUAACAUGUAACAUUUAAUUUGGGAGGCAAUGCUUAAAUAACAGCUGAUUUUUGUUUUGAAUUUGCUUUGAAUUUUCAGCGACAUCUUUCGUAGCGUAGGGCAAGUGUCCAUUCGUUUGCACUCAAUAACAGCUUAUAAUUUUCCUUCAGUUCCCAUAGGUGCUCCGACUCGCUAGUGAUGAAAUUUGGGGUUCUUUUGUUGUUUUCAUCAAUUUUUGAUAUAAUUUUCCUCUCAAAUUUAUGUAUUGUCUGUUAUAUUUUAAAUAUUUCAAACAUAUUUUUAUGAAUGACAUUUGUAAAACAUAUGUUGCCCAUAACGAUGCCAUAUAUCAUAAUAAAACUUUAUAGAAAUUAAGCAUUGACUGUGAAACGCAAACGACUACUCAGUUUGCAACAAUACUUAAGUAUGGACUGUGAAACCGGGCAUUAGCCAUACAAAAUUCUAUACCUAAAUGCAAAUAAAUGAAAUUUUUUUUUUGCAUUUAGGAUAUACAUGCAGAAAUCAACUCUGCGUUUCCUAAAUUCCUCUGAAAUCUCCCAAAUUCGUGGAAGAUUUACUGGAAAAGAGUGGCAGCAUUGCUUAUUUGUCUGACCAUAUAUAUGUACAUAACUUUAUUUAUUUCACGGAUUGUAUGUGAUUUUUUCUUAAAUUUAGAAUAUUGGAAGUCAUAGAUUCGUAUAACUUUACCACAAAUAAUAUAAACUUCAAACAACGCAUUUUCAUUUAAUGUUUUUAGCAAGUGGCAGCUUUUGUUAUGACAGCCUAAAUCCAUGAAAAUUUAGAAAGAAAUGUAGCGCCAUCUACUGUAACAUAGCGCACUUAGCGACACCAACUGGUGGAUAGCUCUUUGCUAAUAAUAAACAAAUAAUUUGCAAUAAAUAAAUAAUGCGACUAUAAGGAGAGUUAUAAACUAUCCUAUCAUUCAAGUUGGACCAAACUGCACACAGUGUUAAAAAUUUCAUUAAAAUCGGUUCAGUAGUUUAGGAGUUCAUCGAAAACAAACAACGUGACACGUGAUUUUUAUAUAUUAAGAUGAUUAUGGAUUAUGUAUAUUUAAAAUUUUGACAUAUGGUUUCUACACAUGACACAAUUAUAAAAGGUUUCAAAAACGUCCUUGCAAAAAAAGGGAUACUGGCUUAUACUUUAAAUAAACUUGCUUUAUAUUUAUCAUGGUCCACACUGGACAAUCAAUUGGAAUGCCUUUGUGACUGUAGCUUAGCAGAAUACAUGUUUUAACGUAUGUACAUAAAACUUCAUUCGAAGUAAAUAAAUAAAACUGUAUAUAAAUCUAUAUUUCACAGCUAAACUUCUAAAACCUCGAAAUUUUUUUGUGGAUUAAGAUGAUUCAAGCUAAGAAAGUUCAACUGUAUUUCGCAAAAAAACGUUAUUAUUUGGUUGACGCAGAAAGGGUGUUAAAAAUUGUGAGAAAGCUGUUUAUUUACCAAUUGAAUUGAAUCAUGGUUUCUACCAAAGAUACUAUUACAUUUUUAUAUGCUUUCGCAAAGUGUAUUCAACAAAGUGAUCUAGGUAUAUGACAUUUAAUUUUUCUUUACACUUAUUUGUAAAGUAAUCAAAUUUCAAACGAAAAAAAUAUUUUUACAUAAUUAUAAGAAAAUGCCGAAUUCUAUCUGCUUGUGCAAAACUACUCAUGGAAGCAACUUACCAAUGUUUUAUGUUCAAACUGAAAAAUCGCAACAAAUAUACAUGUUCAUAUAUGUAUGUAUUCAAAUGGUUUCAUAUUGUUCAAGAUAAUGAAAAAGUUAAUGUAAACCAAAGUGUAUUCAACAAAGUGAAUUAAGUAUUUGACAUACCCUUGUUUGACAAUAAAAUAGAAAACAGUUGGAGCAUAAAACAUUGACAAAUUACCUCCGUGAGUUGUUUUGCACAAGCAUAAAGUAUUCGGCAUUUUAUUUUAUUCAGUUAAAAAUAUAUGUUUUUGGUUUGAAAUUUGUCUACUUUAUAGUUAGCAAAGUGUAUUCAACAAAGUGAACUAAGUAUAUGACAUUUCAUUUUUUUACCCGAAUUUGACAUGUUUGUUGCCAUUGAUGUAAGGGUUAACAUUUAUUCAAAAAUUCAAAUUUUGAAAUUCAAAACUUAUGCAAAACAAGACGUGAAGCCGCUUGACCACCGGAAUCGUCGUAUGUUCAUGAAUUGUGCUGAGGAACAACUUGAUCCGGAUUUUCAUCGAAAAAUCAUCUUCAGGGAUGAGCGUUCAUUUCUGGCUGAAUGUCUUCGUCAAUAAGCAAAAUACUUAUGUGCUAUUGCUCAGGCAGCACUAGUCACCAUUGCAUUCCGAAAAAAUUACGGUUUGGUUCGGUUUAUGGGACGGCGACGUCAUUGGGCCGUACUUCUUCCGUGAUGAUCAAGAUCGAUUUUUUUCUUUCAAUAUUUCUAUAUUUAUUGAAUCUGCACUUUGGAGCCUAACAAUAAGUUAUGGAAUCUUAAAUCUAAUUAAAACUAGACAAGCUCAACCAAGUGAUUGAGUUGUUUUGGUGAAACGUUGCUCUUUAGUAUGCAGCCAUAUCUCUUAUUUUUAGACGUGAUUGAUUACACGAAUGUACUAAAGCGUUAGCCAAUGUGUUUGGGUGGUCUCGGAUUUUAGAUAUAUAUUUAUUUCUGCUGUCUUCAACUUAUUUUUUUACCAUGAGAAAACCAGGAUCUUUAUGGAUAUUUUCUUUACGCAUGUACUAUGGUCGUACCCCACAGUUGAAUGCCAUACAUCCAUACAUCCAAAUGUCUCGAUAUGUGUUUUCUCCACAUGAACCUUCUAUCCAAGUGAAUACCAAGAUAUGUUACUUCAUUCGCCUUAUCAUCGUCACCAGUUUCCACCCAAGCCUCUUAUAAGCAUGUUGGAGUCGACUAGGCUUCAUUGACUUUUGGGAGUCAAGUCAUUGGAGUUUCGUUUACUUGAAUUUGGACUCAGUUUCUUUAUAUAAUUUUGAGUGUAGUUUUCUUCCUCGCGUUGAAGUGCUUUUUUGAAGUUUUCGUACAGCAGAUUUCAGUUGAAGCUGAGUAGAAGAGGAACGAUUUAACUGCAAUUCACGUCUAGAUCGCUUUUUUCUCAUUUACAAGCUUUUCUAUUUCAUUAUUAGUAAUUUUUUUUUAACUAAUCGUUUUAUUCUUUCUAUUCGGUGUUGCUUUGACAGCUGCAUUUGUUAUUACAUCAUUAAAUUACCUUAUACUUUCAUCAAUAUCUCUUUCUGUAUUUAUUUUUAAAUCAAUAUGAAUGUGGCUACUCAAAUAUUUUUUAUAUUUUAACAAGUUCGUUUUGUGAGAUGUUAGACCCACUUUUGGCUCAACGAAUAAGGGUUGUUACAUAACUUUAUUAGCACAGGUGAAUGAGAAGAUAAGUCAGUACCUUCUGUCAUAAGUUAAUCCACGCGAGGUCUACCGAACUCAGUAAAGCUUACCUCUCCUUAGUCGUAGGGGUUCUUGCUGGCCUUUGUUUCAUCGGGAUCCCCGCUGUAAGGUUAAAAAUCGUACCGGACGCUAGCUGUAAAAGCUGCAUGGAGGAGGAUGAAGUGGAAUCAUCUCCUCACUUUCUUCUGGAAUGUCCCGCUUUUGCGAGAUCAAGAAAAAAAUUUUUCCGAUCUCAAUUUUUUUAACAAGCUCGCGAAAUUGCGAUAUAGAAGUUUAAAAUCUCUGCAGAUUUGUAGUAGGUUCAGGGCGCUUUGUUGACUCCCUUUGGGAAACAGCCUUACAACCUAAUCUAAUCUAAGUUUGGUGAACGUGUUAUCUCACGAAAUGGGCCAGUCAAAUAGUCCAGUUAGACUAUUUCAUAUGGGGCUAUGUCAACUUUAUGGUCUAUGCCAACAUGCCAGCGACGAUUGAUGAACUUCGUACUAAUAUCGAACGUAAAAUUGCAGCAGUAUCGGUCGACUUAUGCUUGAAAACCGUCGAAAAUUGGGUUCAGCGUCUGGACUUCUGCGAGCGUGCCCGUGGUGGUUAUGUAAAAGAAAUCGACUUCCAUAUAUAAUGGCAUCGAAUGUACUUUCACAAAAGCGCUCUUAUUGAAAACCGCUUUAUAUCGAGGCGAUUAUUUGAUCGCUUUAUUUUUUGGAUUUCAGUCUCGAGCGAUUCAAGUGUAAAGGAUUGGUUUCUGAUAAUUCGUCUCAAAAGGUUUUGUUGCGUAACUACCGUGUAAACCUGAUGUUAAAUAAAUAGUUUUCAUUGUACAUAUUUCGCGGUUUUUUUUUACUUAUGUAUAUCUCCGGACUCUGGUUCGCCCAGGGUUUUUUGGAAAUCUCCCGAUAAAUGGUUAUGUAAUCAAUCACUUUUAUAUAACAACGUUCAACAACACGUUCUUCUCCUUCAUCUGAAAUAUCAACUUCAUCAAAUAUCUGAAUUGAAAAAAAAUAUUUGAUAUAUAUGUAUAUAGCGGCGGAUUAAGUAUUUUGACGCCCUAGGCCCUGUCUGAUUAGCCGCCCUUUUUAAAGGAUGAACUUUUAUUUCUUUGAGUCCGUUCAUAUUUUUAAGAUUUAAUAUUUAUUUCAUAAAAGUAUAAUUGUUAAACAAUACAAAUAAAUAUUAACAACAUAAAUAUCAGUCAGUUUUCUUAAACUAUAAUGUAUAACUUAAUUUUCAAAUAUCUUCUUUCUGGCUUUCGUCUGAGCAAAAUCAUCAAUUAUGUCGUUGUAAUCAAUUUCUUGAACUAGUUGGGCUUCAAUUGACAGUAGUGCUAAAGCAUUGAGUCUCUCUUGGCACAUACUUGCGCGUAAAUACGUUUUGACUCUUUUCAAGGUGGAAAACGAUCUUUCUCCUGAACAGUUCGUAUCCGGAAUACUCAAAAAAAUACGUAGAGCAAUGUCUACAUUUGGAUAAACAUCUUGAACAUUUUGAGAAUGCAAAAAAUUGUAUAAUCCUUGCGCGGAACGUAUAUCUUUUGUGUUCAUUAGAGAAUCUUUGAGUUGACAGUGCAAAUGAAUACAUUCAUUCGCGAAAGUAUCUUCCAAAUCAUCAGAAUACUGAAUAACUAAUUCAUCUGCGCGAAUUUUUAAUUCAUUGGUAUCUAUUUCAUAUAAAUUGUCAAAAAAAUUAAAAUUUUCGUAAAGAUUAUGUUAAGCAUUUUUACGUCCUGCCAAUUGUACACUUAAAGUAUCUAAAAUUAGAUAGUAAACGUUAGUUCGAAAAUUUUCUUCUCCAGAUAAAGCUGUUUUUUCAUUUUCCCGUGACUUGUCUGCCUGAAGUUUUCGGGUAUUUAUACGACGGGUGUCUUCUGGCUUCUUUGGCUUGGCUUCUUUUUCUUAAUCAGAAAAUUGUUUAUCUCUCAUAUCCGACCAACGAGUUUGAGAAAAGCUUUUAAGUUUUAAACUUGUAUGCUGUCUUAAAAUUUCCCAACGAUGUGUCGAAACGGUAAAAAAAUUAUAUAAUUCGUGCAAAGUAGAAAAAAAGUCGACUGCUUCGGUAACAGAUACAGCUGCACAAUUUUCCACUAAAUUUAAAGAGUGACCCGCAUAAGGAACAUAUUCAGCUAAUGGAUUAGUUGUUUUGAUUCGUGCUCGCAUUCCUGAAUAUAAACCUGACAUGUUGCUUGCAUUAUCGUAGGAUUGACCACGACAAUUCAUUAUAUUUAAACUAUUAUCCUCAAGAGAUUUUAACAAAGCAUCUUCAAUAUCUUUAGCCUUAUGGCCAGUAUUUGGAAUGAAUUCCAGAAAUCUUUCGACAAUUUUACCAUUGUUACGUACAUAUCUAAUAAUUAUCGUGAGUUGAUCAACAUGAGCAAUAUCAGGCGUGGAAUCCACAAUUACGCCAAAAUGCUUAACAGAUUGCACUUCUUUAGAAAUAUGUUACAAUACUUUAUUUUGAAUUAAUAAUAUAAGUUCUUCGUAGAUUGUCUUUGAUAAAUACGAAGUAUUUCCACGG